UUAUUUUUUCUUGAGGUAUCUAGUGGAAGUAGAGGUAAAAUUGAGACUUUUUUAGGAUGGUAAAGGCUGAAAUAAGAUUGUAGAGGCUGAGAAGGCCUGGGUCUAAACCAGGAUUAGAGACCCUGUUAUACCAGGUUGAAAAAAGUUUUACUCGGGUAGUAAUCAGCUAUGAACUUGAAAUCUAAAGAAUUUGGCGGUAUUUUAACCUAGUUAGAGGAACCUGUUCCAUAAACGAUAAUCCACGCAAGAUCUUACUCUACUUAGUUUUCAGUUUGUAUACCGCCAUCAUGGGUUUUAUUUUAAAAUACACACCGAAAUAAGCGAAUCGCUUAGAAUAUUAGGCCAAGGUGCAGCUUAUAGUAGAGCGGUAAUGGGUUACAAUGUAGUUUAUACAGACGGAAAGAGGGGGUUAAAAGUCCUCUGGAAGGCGGAUUUAAUAGUAUUUUACGUUUAAUAAGCGUAGACGAAAUUGCCCUAAAAUAUGUACACAUCGCCCGUCGCUCUCGUUU
rnacentral:rRNA from 1 species